rnacentral:lncRNA from 1 species
GUUUGGUUUGCCAUCACUUUUUGUGACUUUUCUGACAUCUGCAAGUGUCGGAAGUGUGACCUGAAACAUUUAAGGACACUUCUGCCUGAACCAUGGGCAGAUGUUUAGACUCCAAGAUACAGAGGAGGAGGGUCUUGGAGGUUUCUUAGUAUAAGUUCCUCCCUGUGGUACUUGCAGUUCCUACAAGGGGCUGUCAGAGAAACAAGCCGGAGAAGAGCAAGACAUGGUCCUGGUGCAUGAAAGGAGCCUAAGAAAGAAGAGUGAAAGCUGCACGUGUGUGAGUAUCUAGCAGAACAUCUAGAAAAUGCACACCAACCUCCAGCAGCAGAAAACAGUCUACCUCCAGAAAGCCAUAAAAGAGAAAAGAAUGUUGUACCAAACUAAGCAAAUGAAGCAUGAAAUGAAAAGCCGGUUGAGCUGGGAGGUAUAAAGAAUGGAAAGGAAGCAGCUACCACCCCUGGUAACCCCAUCAAUCCGGAGAAGCUUCGCAGAGUUACACUGUGCUCUGUCGGGAAGGAAAUGAAUUUUCCUCAUUGUACACAUUCCGAGAAAAAUGAGGCUAAGACUAUUUCAAAGGAUGUUCUACCUAAUUCGAAUGGGCUUUAAGUGCCAUCUUCACAAUAGCGCCAGAGUCUGGUGUCAGCAAACUGAACAAAUAGAGCUACAGGGAGCGAAUGGGGCUGGGUGCCUCUCCAAAACAUAUGCAGAUGAACUUGAGAUUUCAGAGGACGGUUAAUCCUACACAGCAGUCAAGUGCCUUCCCAGGGGUAUGUCUCAGAUCUCAGAGCAUCCUGGCAGGCAUCCACUGUGCCAUAUGCUUUCGGGAAGUCUGGAUGCUGAAUGUGGUGGCUGUGGGGAAUUGAGCCUUAUUGCUUCAUAAGAUUCCUGGUGGUAGAACUAUUCUGAACAAGAACACGUCCGUCCCCAUAGGUGUGCUCCAAGAAUCACAGAAUAAGAAGGGACUUCGGAGAGAGCCUCACACAGUUGGGCAAUGGGAGCCCAGAGAGGCAAGGAAGGCUCCUUGCCCAAAGUCUUGUACAUCUGAAUCUGCAACUCCUGACUAUUUUUGAGUCUUAUGCUCCAGGCUAAAACUUGUGACUUUAAGUGUGAUGUUCUCGGUGAUGAUUAAUCUAGGAUGUUUCUGUUGUUUUCUUACCGUCAAAGAAUUAACAUCAAAAGGAAAGGAAGGAAGAAAUGUAGAAGUGAAGGCAAGAAGGAAGGAAGGAGGAAAGGAAGGAAGGAAAAUAUAGGCUUUGGGUAAAAAUAAGUUUCUACUCAACACUGACAAAGGUACAGGUUUUGGACAUUGGUUUCCUAAUCUGUAAAUGAGGAAUAGUCAUCACAUCGCUGUCCUGGCUGGUUUUGUGUGUCAACUUGACACAAGCUGGAGUUAUCACAGAGAAAGGAAAGAAAAUGCCUCCAUGAGAUCUAGCUGUAAAUGGAUUAGUGAUCAAGAGUGGGAGGGCCCAGUGUGGGUGGUGCCAUCCCUGGACUGGUGGUCCUGGGUUCUACAAGAAAACAAGCUGAGCAAGCCAGGGGAAGCAAGCCAGGGGAACAUCCCUCCACGGCUCUGCAUCAGCUCCUGCUUCCUGCCCUGUGUGAGUUCCAGUCCUGACUUCCUUUGGUGACGAACAGCAAUGUGAUAGUAUAAGCUGAAUAAACCCUUUCCUCCCCAAC